UAGGGAAUCUUCGGCAAUGGACGAAAGUCUGACCGAGCAACGCCGCGUGAGUGAAGAAGGUUUUCGGAUCGUAAAACUCUGUUGUUAGAGAAGAACAAGGACGUUAGUAACUGAACGUCCCCUGACGGUAUCUAACCAGAAAGCCACGGCUAACUACGUGCCAGCAGCCGCGGUAAUACGUAGGUGGCAAGCGUUGUCCGGAUUUAUUGGGCGUAAAGCGAGCGCAGGCGGUUUCUUAAGUCUGAUGUGAAAGCCCCCGGCUCAACCGGGGAGGGUCAUUGGAAACUGGGAGACUUGAGUGCAGAAGAGGAGAGUGGAAUUCCAUGUGUAGCGGUGAGAUGCGUAGAUAUAUGGAGGAACACCAGUGGCGAAGGCGUCUCUCUGGUCUGUAACUGACGCUGAGGCUCGAAAGCGUGGGGAGCAAACAGG
rnacentral:rRNA from 1 species